rnacentral:rRNA from 1 species
UACGUAGGGUGCAAGCGUUGUCCGGAAUUACUGGGCGUAAAGAGCUCGUAGGUGGUUUGUCGCGUUGUUCGUGAAAACUCACAGCUCAACUGUGGGCGUGCGGGCGAUACGGGCAGACUUGAGUACUGCAGGGGAGACUGGAAUUCCUGGUGUAGCGGUGGAAUGCGCAGAUAUCAGGAGGAACACCGGUGGCGAAGGCGGGUCUCUGGGCAGUAACUGACGCUGAGGAGCGAAAGCGUGGGGAGCGAACAGG